rnacentral:sRNA from 1 species
GGCCGAGCAGGAGGCGCCAUCAUGUUAUACAGGUUUCUGGCCAGAAGAACCAACUCCACAUUCAACCAGGUUGUGUUGAAGAGGUUGUUUAUGAGUCGCACCAACCGGCCGCCUCUGUCCCUUUCCCGGAUGAUCCGGAAGAUGAAGCUUCCUGGCCGGGAAAACAAGACGGCCGUGGUUGUGGGAACCAUAACUGAUGAUGUGCGGGUUCAAGAGGUGCCCAAACUGAAGGUGAGCUGGCAGGGGCUGGGCAGACCCAUCAGAUCCUUGCUUUGCUGUGCUGGUCCAUCCUCAGUCUUGCCAUCGCUGGUGAGGCAAGCAUCCUGCCUGUCUGAGUGGCUUUGAGGAUUGGUGUGGGUCGUCUCUGGCAUGGUUGAUGGUGGGGUCCCCUGGGCAAGCUUUUUCUGGGGCAAGUUGUAAACUGUUAGUGCUGGCCCCUAGAGCCAGACAGCCUGGGCUCAAGUCUAGACUCCUUUGUCACCUCUGCACAAGUCUUUUUUUGGCCCAGCUUCCUUGCUGUAGUUUCUAGCAUAACACCAGGGAUGUGGUGGUAAAAGUUCCUAGAGAGAAAGUGUUGAGAACAGCUGCUGUCAGCCCAGGGUGCUCCGGGUAGUAAACGAUAGUGUUGGUUACCAGGGCUCUGCUGCGCCAAGGCAGUGGAGGGUGA